ACAAAAUUGCCACGGAUGGAGGGGGUCAAAAAGGGCCCAACAACAUUGAUUUGCACAUUUCUUUCCACCAAGAUUGACUGAAAAAAGCACCAGCAAAAUAGUCCAGCUAUACAGUAAAGAAGCUUUAAAAAAAAGAAGAAGAAACAAACCAACCAACACACUUGCAGCGAUAACAGUUGUCUGCCCAUGUUGUUGCUUAACAGUUUCCGGCCACAGGUGGCAGUAGUGGGCUCCACCAGUCCAGUGAAUGAGCAUAGGAAGCGUAGAAGAAAUUACGCGCCAACUCUUGUAUUUCAAAGCGGGUUGUUUUGAGUUCGACGGGAUUUACUUUUACACUACAGAAACAAACCUUGUUCUUCUGACUUUUCACACGCACGUCUUGAUUACGUUGAACGGUGCACGGUCACCGGGAGCGGAGCUAAUUUACUUAAGCACUGGAUAAGCUAGCAGUGCCACGGGGCGCUGCAACCAUCUGUUUCAGGCCGGCGACAAAUGAGUGCAACACCAACGUUGUGGUUUCUCCUUCUGUCGGUGACUCCACUCCUCGCAUCCGGAAUCGUCAGGAUGUAAUAAUCGUCAUGGCAACUCCAUCAACUUGACUGAUACGCUUGAAACACACCGGGUCCAGAGAGGAUGUUCUCCUGAAGGUGAACACCUACCUAUGAGCCCCGUGUAGGCGAGAAGGCAGGCUCCAUAGUUUCCUUGCUUGCAGCCACUCGCAGACGUUUCGGAGGGUUCGCAGUCGUACUGAAACUGUGCCAGACGAGACCUACAGAAACAAGAACAUGGUUGGUGAUACAGCCAGGGGUUGUGGUUGUGUUAGAUUCCUAGACUGUACGUCGCCUACAUGUGACUUUGACUCUAGCAGCUUUGAACGAAGCUCAUGCAAAUACAUUUUUAAAGGCAGCGCCACAAGAUUUAUACGACGCCGCUGAGGUCUUAAACGCUUAUCCCUGGAGAUGAAUGCCGGCCUAUUGGGCAGCCCACAAUGUUUCAAAAGUAUCCCAGAUGACUACGUGGCAGAGGUACUGUUGACAAUUUGUACCGUUUUGAUUUUAACCAAGGGAAUAACCACGGAACUCUCAAACAUUGAUCAGAACCAGCAUCUUACUCUGCAGCCAUGUUUGUGUUCUUAAAAACUGCGUUUCUCUCUCUGGUGUUUAUUCUCAUGCAGGGUGAGCUAAAGUGCAGUAACCUCACUUAAGGUCGGCUGAUUUCACAUGAAGCAGUCGUUCAUCACCUCAGUUCUGGAGUCGCCCUGCGUGGCAGCGGUGGUAUCCAAUCUGGACAGCGCGAAUGCAAGUUGGAGAUUGUUUCCAUAUGGGCCGUGUUUCGAGCAGUGUCGCUCUGUUGCGUGGCACGAAAAAACAACGGCUUUCGUUUCGUAGUCCGCCCACUACAAGCACGCAACGUGAAACAGUUAGACAACGUUCACACCAGCAGCCGUAAACAACACAGUCCACCUUUAACCUGCGUGAAUAAAUCAACAGCAGGUUGCUGGAAAUUCUCACGAGAACCACAGUUCACGAUGUUAGGGUCAAAGUACCUGACCAAUUAUUCAUAUCACCAUCAUUUAAGAUUAAUGAUAUAAAAAUACAAAGCCAAUUAGGACUUUACAGGAGACUAUUAAAAAUCAGGGACAGGGACAUUAAAUUGUAAAAAAUAAUCAUUUGAAAUGGAAGAACAUUGGGAUACAAACAUACUGGUAAAGAUUCCAAAUAGAAUUUAUAAACCUGAACCUAUGAAUCAAAUUUAACAUUUCUCUAACUCCUGUGUGACGAUUCACCCCUUUUUUCUGUUUUAUAUCAUUUUGUAAAAUUUGAAAGUGCCACUUUGCUGUAGGGGUAUGACGGGUAUUCUGACAUUUUCAACAACUUUAUAAUUAAAGUUGAUAUUGAAUUGUCUGGAUUAGAACAUGUCAGAAUACCUGUCAUACGCUCCUAGAUGCGUUCUUUACUCAGGAAGUCAGUUGUGAGAAGAGUUAUAUAUUGCCUAAUUUAAAAAAAAUUGAUUUCAUAUCUUACUACCCCUGACUGAAAAAAACAAUAUUUUUCCAAUAUCUUAUUAAACCCAGUACAGAUUGCUUAAGCAGCAUACCAUGAGCAUCUCACUCUGAGAUGUUAAACCUCUGAUAUAUGUGUAGUAUUUGUGAUGUGUAGUCAAGUCUUACAAGAAAUGAGUAAAACUGCACAUUUUCUGCACUUAACAUUAACAUUUUGGGGGAAAUAUGCCAUCGUUUAUCUCCUUAAAAACAGUCAAGUGCUCCCUAUCUGCAUAAUAAGGUGAUGACAGUAAUAGGCCACUUUAAGAUCACUGUAGUAUUUGAAAUGUAUAUUUUGUGUUUUGUACUUAAGAAUUAAAGACUCUUUCUCUGCAUAACAAUAACUGGCCUUUGUUAAGCUCGCCCCUUUUUCUUUCCUCAAACACUUGCCUCAUUUCCUGCCUCCUCAGGCUUCAAACUAUAGCUCCUAUCUGGCCCGUUUUUUUGCCAGCGUGGCCUCUUCGACCCCUCCGCUUUCCCCACUUGAAACAGACAUGCUGUGUGAUGUGAAGGACCGUACUAUAUGCACGCAUGCCCGAGCUCGACCCCUGCAGCGGGCUGCCGUGCCAAAAGUCCACGUCCCAAAGUUACAGAGCUCCGGCGGCAAUUCUGGCACGGCUUCUGAGGAUGACAACUGCCGGUGGGAGAGCUUCAGCUCCAGGAUGUGUCAAGAGGUCCGGCCUCCUGCCAUGCUGGGU